AUCUUAAACAUUUGUCCUUGAAGGUACUGCUGCAUGCAAAUGCCAUGGGAAAAACAGGAGACACAAGCACAGAAGUCAACCAGGAGGCUUUUAAGGACAAGUAAAAGGAGAUGAAAACAAGAAAAUGACUGAAAUGGAAAUCUCAAAGGGCAGAGUUUCCAGAAGCACCACACUGUGAUGGGCAAUACAGAAAUGUCUGCUCUUGGAUCCAGCUGAUAAAAUGUCCCAGUCCAGGAGGUUCUGCACUGCUACAAUCCAAGGUUAGUGCUGUGCUCUGGGAGGGCACUUUUUGGCAGUGUUAGAGUAUCUGUCAGGAGCUGCUGGUCCCCAUCUUCCAAAGCAAUAUUGCUGUUCUUCCAGAGACAACAAUGUGGG
rnacentral:lncRNA from 1 species